GGGUUAAGUCCCGUAACGACGCGCAACCCUUGUCCUUAGUUACCAGCACGUUAUGGUGGGCACUCUAAGGAGACUGCCGGUGACAAACCGGAGGAAGGUGGGGAUGACGUCAAGUCAUCAUCGGCCCUUACGGCCUGGGCUACACACGUGCUACAAUGGUCGGUACAAAGGGUUGCCAAGCCGCGAGGUGGAGCUAAUCCCAUAAAACCGAUCGUAGUCCGGAUCGCAGUCUGCAACUCGACUGCGUGAAGUCGGAAUCGCUAGUAAUCGUGAAUCAGAAUGUCACGGUGAAUACGUUCCCGGGCCUU
rnacentral:rRNA from 1 species